GGGCGUCUCUUACUCAUUACGAGUGGAGGCGCACCUGUAGCGCACACGCUGAUACCCGAAAGAUGGUGAACUAUGCCUGGCCAGGACGAAGCCAGGGGAAACCCUGGUGGAGGUCCGCAGCGAUUCUGACGUGCAAAUCGAUCGUCGGAGCUGGGUAUAGGGGCGAAAGACCAAUCGAACCAUCUAGUAGCUGGUUCCCUCUGAAGUUUCCCUCAGGAUAGCUUGCAUUCGGUUGAGACGAGUCUCAUCCGGUAGAGCGAAUGAUUAGAGGCCUUGGGGUCGAAACGACCUCAACCUAUUCUCAAACUCCAAAUAGAUGAGAUCCCCGGCUUGCUUGAAAGUGAAGCCGCGGGAAUCGGAUCAGAGUGCAAAGUGGGCCAAUUUU
rnacentral:rRNA from 1 species